rnacentral:misc_RNA from 1 species
AAUUCUCAACCUUCCCGGUUUUCUUUUGGACACCGAAGGAGGCUUGGACUCUGGAGGCCUUUGCUGGCGUCUCUCUCUUCUUGAGAGCCAGCUCCUCUUAAACGAAUUAGCGGGGUCCUCUUUGCCGAUCCUCGAUAUGUGAUAAGAUGUUUCCAUGACUUGGUUUCUGGCUCUGUUGCCCUUGGGACCCGCUUCCAACCGUCUCGACGAGACAACGUUUGGGCGUGUCUCCCUUCUCGGGAAGCACUCCCAACCCCACGAAC